rfam:Medicago truncatula strain A17 chromosome 3, whole genome shotgun sequence.
AAGUUUGAAAUUCCUCAGUAGUUAACUGCAGCUGGUUCUUUAAAUUUUCGGCAGUUAACUGCCGAGGGGCAU